rnacentral:rRNA from 1 species
ACGGGUGCGUAACACGUGGGUAAUCUGCCCUUCGAAGGGGAAUAACUCGCCGAAAGGCGAGCUAAUUCCGCAUAACAUUCCGAGAACCUUGGUUUUUGGAUUCAAAGGCGUAAGUCGUCGGAGGAGGAGCCCGCGCACGAUUAGCUAGUUGGUAGGGUAACGGCCUACCAAGGCUAUGAUCGUUAGCUGGUCUGAGAGGAUGGCCAGCCACACUGGAACUGAGACACGGUCCAGACUCCUACGGGAGGCAGCAGUGGGGAAUCUUGCACAAUGGGCGAAAGCCUGAUGCAGCGACGCCGCGUGGGGGAUGAAGCUUCUCGGAGUGUAAACCCCUUUCGACCCGGACGAAUGCCCCGCAAGGGGACUGACGGUACGGGUAUAAGAAGCCCCGGCUAACUACGUGCCAGCAGCCGCGGUAAGACGUAGGGGGCCAGCGUUGCUCGGAAUUACUGGGUGUAAAGGGUUCGUAGGCGGUGUGGCAAGUCGGGAGUGAAAUCUCUGGGCUCAACCCAGAGUCUGCUUCCGAAACUGCUGUGCUUGAGUGUGGGAGAGGCGCGUGGAAUUGCAGGUGUAGCGGUGAAAUG